AUGGAGCUGGGUGAUGGGGGAAGGAAGGAGGAGGGUGGAAGAAGGACUAUGCGUAGCAGCAGCGGCGACGGCGAUGACGACAGGCAGCGCCCCUACGACGGCGAGGACGACGACGAGGGGACGAGGCAGCCGUACAAGUGCGCGUUCUGCAGGAGGGGGUUCCCCACGGCGCAGGCGCUCGGCGGGCACAUGAACGUGCACCGGAAGGACCGGCCGGCCACUAAGGCGGCGCCAAGGGGCGCCGGCGUCUGCGGUCAGGAGUCGCCGGCGGUCAUCGACGCGCUCCUGGCGUACGGAGUGCUGGCUCAUCCGGAGGUGAGCGGCGCCGCUGGAGGGAGCUCCAGGAUCCGUGCCCAGCGGCCGCCGCGGGAGCUCCGGCUGUUCGGCCAUGUCGACGACGCCGGUCGUGGCAAGGAAGAUCAAGGUUGGGGCGCCAGAGAUCGAGGAGGGUGCCACGAAGCCAAGGAUGAUGCUGGCGAUCACGGCGAACAAGAGGAGGAGGAGGAGUUGGAUUUGGAGCUGAGACUCGGUGCUGCGGUACGAUGCAUUAUGUUUGGAUGGGUGGUGGCAAUUUGGGGUGUGGCAGUUGAAGGACAAGGAAGGAUGGUUUAUGGCAAUCCAGAAUUUUAG
rnacentral:rRNA from 1 species